GUCCUAGCUGUAAACGAUGGGCACUGGGUAGAGGGGUGUCGAUAUUCUCUCUGCCGAAGCAAAUGUGUUAAGUGCCCCGCCUGGGGAGUACGGUCGCAAGGCUAAAACUCAAAGGAAUUGACGGGGGCUCACACAAGCGGUGGAGCAUGUGGUUCAAUUCGAAGCAACGCGAAGAACCUUACCCGGGUUUGAAAUCCACGGAUGGGUCUGAUGAAAGUCGGAUACUCUGCCCGCAAGGGUGAAACGUGGACAGGUGUUGCAUGGCUGUCGU
rnacentral:rRNA from 1 species